CUAACGUAUGAUGCACGCCUAUUUACGAAACUCCAGGCUGGUAUCGCUUUGUUGGACCAUUUCAGGGAUAUAUUGGGAUAUACCCAUAGAUUCUGGAUAUACUCUAGUUCAACAUUCCUGUACAUUCGCGUAGCGCACAUUUACACGUGCAAAUUUUGUGACCAAUUUUCAAUCGAUUUUGCCUUUAUAAAAAUAUAAAGGUUCUUAUUAAGUAAGCAAUUCAAAAUGAAGAAUUAUUUGGAAACAAAAUUUCAAAAGAAGAGAAAGAGCUAUACUUUCCCAUUUUAAACAGAUCCCGUUUCUGUAAAAUUGCAAUUCGAGGCUUAAUAAUAAUAAACGUAGCGAAAGAAAACGCUGAUGAAAAAAAA